rnacentral:misc_RNA from 1 species
GUGACAAUGGCUUAGAACAAAUUCAAAUUUCAAUAUCAAAAUACCUUGACCAUUAAUAUUUUUAACUAGAAAAAUUGUCCAUGAGUCUCAUCUCACGUAUGUACAAUUGUCCCCAUCAUUUUUUUUUUUUAUUUACUUGUACAAGCCAAGCUUUUGACCAGCAACAUCACACCUAAUCUCAGCAAGUCCAAUCCUAGAUUUUUCAAGAUCAAACUCCAUCCACACAUCUUGUUGAUGAUGAUUUCCAAUCACAAAUGCCUCAACCCCCAACAAGUCUGAGUUCCCAAAUGUAAAGCACCACACUGAAUCCUUCCCUCUUAUCUCUCCUGGUGCUCGAUACAACAGCCUCUCUCCCGAUACGCUCAUCUCCGCACCCUGAAAUAUCAAGCUUACAACCGGCAAUACUGGCAAUCUCGGCCGAGACGAUUCUAUUAAAUAACACAAGUCCAUUGCCCCUUGGAAUACGAAAUUUGGAUCAUUUAAAACUCUCAAAAUCCCUCUGGUUUGUGCUGAAAAUUCAUUUUUUAAAGCUGUGUAAACCGGACCCAGUAAGAAUGUGAACUGGGUGCCUGAGUCAACCAUGGUUUGUCCUGCUCCGGUGUGGUCUGGUACAAAAACGGAUUUCGGCAGCGAUAGAAUUUUGUUGUUAACCUUUAUGCCUUCGAGUUGGACUGAGUAAGCGACCCGAUCGAAGUACGGUAAUGGGGUUGAGAUUUGAACUAAAGGAGUGUAGCUUAGCGGUUUAAGCCAGGGCAAACUUGCAUCUCCGAGAAGCAAAACACCGAACGAGUCGAGACCCGAUAUGCAAUAUGAAAAUUUUCGAUAUCCCAUUUGGUUAAUGAAUGAUAAUGACCCACGGUUCAUGCCCAUUAACCCGGUUGUUUUGGCGUCUUCCUCUGCAUUUGAACUGAAACCCGUGUCCAUGCACCCGAAGAUUGUGGCGGGCCGAGAGGAGGACCCGAUUCUGAAUGUUUCAAACGCGAGAUUGCCUUCAGUGGAUGAAGCAUCGGCGUAGGAGAUGAUAACAUGGCAGAGCUUAGCAGCGUCACAAGACACGGGUAUGGUAAGAUCACGGGUUCGGGUCCUGCAGGUAGGAGCAGAGCAGGGGACUUUAACAUAAGUUUUAGAGGCGAAAGGGCUGAAGAUGGAGUUCAAGCCUUGCGCUUUCUUGCAGUGAAGCCAAGAGAGCUCGCUGCCUGUGUCAAGGACCAUGGUAACAUUCUGCGGAGGAGAACCAACCGUGAGAGACACAGUGAGGGAGACAUUAUGGUGGAACAAGAGCUUGUUGGUGGCGGAGGAGGCGGUGGCGAAGCGUCUUGCAAUGGGGAAAUGAGGAUGUUUCUGGGUUUUGAGAGGCAAUAUUAAAGAUUCUUGCUUUGAAGAAGAACAACGAUUGGCUUGCAAGAUAAAGAAAAAGAGAAGCACUUUAACAAGAAAAUGAUGGAGAGAGGCCAUGAAGGCUUACUGGGUGUUCCCACCUGUGAGAGAGGAGGAAGAAGACGUAUAUUGAUAUUAUUUGAUUGGGUAGAGUGAUUAGGUUUGCUUAAAUACAAGGCUGAAAAUGAUUAAGGAAUGCAUUGAAAUUAAGGGUUUCUAAUUUUUGAGACAAUUAGAAAAUCUCAUUGGUAAUUAACAAAGGAUAAUUAAUUUGGUGUGAGACAGUG